AUUGAACGCUGGCGGCAUGCCUUACACAUGCAAGUCGAACGGCAGCACGGGAGCAAUCCUGGUGGCGAGUGGCGAACGGGUGAGUAAAGUAUCGGAACGUGCCCAGUCGUGGGGGAUAACGUAGCGAAAGUUACGCUAAUACCGCAUACGAUCUAUGGAUGAAAGCGGGGGAUCGCAAGACCUCGCGCGAUUGGAGCGGCCGAUAUCAGAUUAGGUAGUUGGUGGGGUAAAGGCUCACCAAGCCGACGAUCUGUAGCUGGUCUGAGAGGACGACCAGCCACACGGGGACUGAGACACGGCCCAGGCUCCUACGGUAGGCAGCAGUGGGGAAUUUUGGACAAUGGGCGAAAGCCUGAUCCAGCCAUGCCGCGUGCAGGAUGAAGGCCUUCGGGUUGUAAACUGCUUUUGUACGGAACGAAAAGGUUUGGCCUAAUAAGCUGAGCUCAUGACGGUGCCGUAAGAAUAAGCACCGGCUAACUACGUGCCAGCCGCCGCCGUAA
rnacentral:rRNA from 1 species